rnacentral:tRNA from 1 species
GGGCCCGUAGUCCAGCCUGGCAGGAUGCGGGGUACGCCUCCCUGUGGUCGGGGGUUCAAAUCCCCCCGGGCCCACCA